GCCAGCCUAGCUCAAUUGGAAGAGCAAUUGACUUGUAAUCAAUAGGUUGGGGGUUCGAGUCCCCCGGCUGGCUCCA
rnacentral:tRNA from 1 species